UACAGAGGUCUCAAGCGUUGUUCGGAUUCAUUGGGCGUAAAGCGCGCGUAGGCGGUUUGGCAAGUCGGAUGUGAAAACCAGAGGCUCAACCUCUGGCCUGCAUCCGAAACUGCCCGACUAGAGGUAGGUAGGGGAGAUCGGAAUUCCUGGUGUAGCGGUGAAAUGCGCAGAUAUCAGGAGGAACAUCAGUGGCGAAGGCGACCACCUGGCCUAACACUGACGCUGAGGUGCGAAAGCGUGGGUAGCAAACAGG
rnacentral:rRNA from 1 species